rnacentral:rRNA from 1 species
CAAGUCGAGCGAACGGACGAGAAGCUUGCUUCUCUGAUGUUAGCGGCGGACGGGUGAGUAACACGUGGAUAACCUACCUAUAAGACUGGGAUAACUUCGGGAAACCGGAGCUAAUACCGGAUAAUAUUUUGAACCGCAUGGUUCAAAAGUAAAAGACGGUCUUGCUGUCACUUAUAGAUGGAUCCGCGCUGCAUUAGCUAGUUGGUAAGGUAACGGCUUACCAAGGCAACGAUGCAUAGCCGACCUGAGAGGGUGAUCGGCCACACUGGAACUGAGACACGGUCCAGACUCCUACGGGAGGCAGCAGUAGGGAAUCUUCCGCAAUGGGCGAAAGCCUGACGGAGCAACGCCGCGUGAGUGAUGAAGGUCUUCGGAUCGUAAAACUCUGUUAUUAGGGAAGAACAUAUGUGUAAGUAACUGUGCACAUCUUGACGGUACCUAAUCAGAAAGCCACGGCUAACUACGUGCCAGCAGCCGCGGUAAUACGUAGGUGGCAAGCGUUAUCCGGAAUUAUUGGGCGUAAAGCGCGCGUAGGCGGUUUUUUAAGUCUGAUGUGAAAGCCCACGGCUCAACCGUGGAGGGUCAUUGGAAACUGGAAAACUUGAGUGCAGAAGAGGAAAGUGGAAUUCCAUGUGUAGCGGUGAAAUGCGCAGAGAUAUGGAGGAACACCAGUGGCGAAGGCGACUUUCUGGUCUGUAACUGACGCUGAUGUGCGAAAGCGUGG